GAUGAACGCUGGCGGCGUGCCUAAUACAUGCAAGUCGAGCGAACAGAUGAGGAGUUUGCGCCUCUGACGUGAGGGGCGGACGGGUGAGUAACACGUGGAUAACCCACCUAUAAGACGGGGAUAAGUUCGGGAAACCGGAGCAAAUACCGGAAAAUAUAGUGAACGGCAGGGUUUAAUAGUGAAAGACGGUGUUGCGGCCACAUGUAGAUGGAUCCGCGUCGCAUUAGCUAGUGGGUAAGGUAAAGGCUUACCAAGGCAACGAGGCGUAGCCGACCUGAGAGGGUGAUCGGCCACACUGGAACUGAGCCACGCUCCAGACUCCUGCGGGAGGCAGCAGUCGGGAGUCUUCCGCAAUGGGCGAAUGCCUGACGGAGCAACGCCGCGUGAGUGAUGAAGGUCUUCGGAUCGUAAAACUCUGUUAUUUGGGAAGAACAAAUGUGUAAGUAACUAUGCGCGUCUUGACGGUACCUAAUCAGAAAGCCACGGCUAACUACGUG
rnacentral:rRNA from 1 species